rnacentral:rRNA from 1 species
UUGGCGCGCAAAUUACCCAAUCCUGACACAGGGAGGUAGUGACAAUAAAUAACAGUGCCGGGCCUUUGUAGGUCUGGCAAUUGGAAUGAGAACAAUUUAAAUCCCUUAUCGAGGAUCAAUUGGAGGGCAAGUCUGGUGCCAGCAGCCGCGGUAAUUCCAGCUCCAAUAGCGUAUAUUAAAGUUGUUGCAGUUAAAAAGCUCGUAGUUGAAUUUGUGGUGUACGGGGGGCACCCAUCACUUAUGGGUGUUGGUGUUGCCUGUCGUUGCCAUCUUUGGGUGGAAACUGUGUGGCAUUAGGUUGUCGUGCAGGGGAUGCCCAUCGUUUACUGUGAAAAAAUUAGAGUGUUCAAAGCAGGCUUAUGCCGAUGAAUAUAUUAGCAUGGAAUAAUAAAAUAGGACCUUGGUGCUAUUUUGUUGGUUUGCGCGUCAAGGUAAUGAUUGAGAGGAACUGUUGUGGGUAUUCGAAUUUCAUUGUCAGAGGUGAAAUUCUUGGAUUUUUGAAAGACGAACUAAUGCGAAAGCAUUUACCCAGGAUGUUUUCAUUAAUCAAGAACGAAAGUUAGGGGAUCGAAGAUGAUUAGAUACCAUCGUAGUCUUAACCAUAAACUAUGCCGACAAGGGAUUGGUGGAGUUUCGUUAUGUCUCCAUCAGCACCUUAGGAGAAAUCAUAAGUCGUUGGGUUCCGGGGGGAGUAUGGUCGCAAGGCUGAA